CACAGAGAGCUUGCUCUCGGGUGACGAGCGGCGGACGGGUGAGUAAUGUCUGGGAAACUGCCUGAUGGAGGGGGAUAACUACUGGAAACGGUAGCUAAUACCGCAUAAUGUCGCAAGACCAAAGUGGGGGACCUUCGGGCCUCAUGCCAUCAGAUGUGCCCAGAUGGGAUUAGCUAGUAGGUGGGGUAACGGCUCACCUAGGCGACGAUCCCUAGCUGGUCUGAGAGGAUGACCAGCCACACUGGAACUGAGACACGGUCCAGACUCCUACGGGAGGCAGCAGUGGGGAAUAUUGCACAAUGGGCGCAAGCCUGAUGCAGCCAUGCCGCGUGUGUGAAGAAGGCCUUCGGGUUGUAAAGCACUUUCAGCGGGGAGGAAGGCGGUGAGGUUAAUAACCUUGGCGAUUGACGUUACCCGCAGAAGAAGCACCGGCUAACUCCGUGCCAGCAGCCGCGGUAAUACGGAGGGUGCAAGCGUUAAUCGGAAUUACUGGGCGUAAAGCGCACGCAGGCGGUCUGUCAAGUCGGAUGUGAAAUCCCCGGGCUCAACCUGGGAACUGCAUUCGAAACUGGCAGGCUAGAGUCUUG
rnacentral:rRNA from 1 species